AUACGUAGGGGGCGAGCGUUGUCCGGAAUGAUUGGGCGUAAAGGGCGCGUAGGCGGCUUUGCAAGUCAGUAGUGGAAGUCAAUUUUUCAAGGAUGGAAGUGCUACAGAAACUGCGGAGCUUGAGUGCAGGAGAGGUUAUCGGAAUUCCCGGUGUAGCGGUGAAAUGCGUAGAGAUCGGGAGGAACACCAGUGGCGAAGGCGGGUAACUGGACUGCAACUGACGCUGAGGCGCGAAAGUGUGGGGAGCAAACAGGAUUAGAUACCCUGGUAGUCCACACUGUAAACGAUGAAUGCUAGGUGUAGGAGGUAUCGACCCCUUCUGUGCCGCAGUAAACACAGUAAGCAUUCCGCCUGGGGAGUACGGUCGCAAGAUUAAAACUCAAAUGAAUUGACGGGG
rnacentral:rRNA from 1 species